CUUCUUAGUUCUUUUCUUUAUCAUCAAGGCCAUCGAGAACUCAUGCUUUGGUCACUGUCUGAAUGAGAUACAUGAAAUGUCUUCUGACAAUGCUCAUGUCAUCCAAGACAAGGUAAGUUUACUCAUCAUAGUAACGAAAAUUUACAAUACGUUGAAUUCUACUAAUACACUUCUCAUAUAACCAAUGUGGAUCUCAUACCUUCCAUUUUCUCCUAUUUAACCUUGCAUAUUUGUUGUUAUAUCCACGGUAUUGCACUAUUUAACCCGUGUAAUCCAUACGAGACUCCAACAGUCUCCAAUUCGGUCUUCAAAAUCCAUCAGCUGAUGUCGUAACAGGAACUUUAAGAAAGGUCGAUGAAUAAAAGAAAGAUUAAAGGCAGAGUUCAAGAGCCGAGUACAAGGCGUGCCUGGCAUUGGCUUGGACCUGUUAGAAGCCAACAUGCAAACAAGGUACGGUGCUGGUGAUAUGUUAACGAUGGGUGUUGACAAGAUUUGGUGGCUGUAUUUUGCAGUUGUACGGCGCUGGGGAACGGUCCGUUGAAGGAUAUCGACUGCGUUUAAGCCGAUAAACUGGCGAGAAAGGAGGGUCCAUGGACUGCUGCUGCCACUGAUCACGUGUGGCGAAAUGGUGAUGAACGGAGAGGAUCAUGAGGUUGUUCUGAGAUGGAAUUCAGUAAGGAUGAUGGAUGGAUAUACAAAGAUUGUUUCUAUGAUUCAGGGAUUUGACCUAAAAUUGGCGUUGGUCGUGAUGGAUGUUACCAGUAUUAAGAGUGCAGUCAGUGAUAGUGAUAAGACAUGUAUGUUGAUUUAGGUCAUAAUUCAGUUGGAUUUGAAUUCAGGUUCAAGGAGAAAGGGAAGUGAACAGAUGCAAAGAAUUUUUUUUCCCUAUUUUCUUCCACCGGUGGAGCAAACCCUAACUUCUUUUUUUUUUUAAAUAAUUUUGAUUAGGGUUUGCUUUUCUUGCAAAUACGUUGCUGCCAUUUUUUUCUGCCUUUUGUGCAAGUGAAUUUAUGGUAACCUAAACGGAUAAACCUAUUCUCUUACGAGUGAAAAAAAAACUGGGUUUGUUUUUUUUAGUUUUAUUAAGAAACUGAUUGCACUUAAAAAAAGUACAGCAUUAUUUCUUUAA